CCCCGAGGCUGUGGGGGUGGGCAGGCGAUAUGGUGGGGGCCCCAUCCAGCUCUUGCAGCUGCUUGCGGCGCAGGAGCCUCCCUGGGGACCCCGAGUGUUUCUCUCCGCCGCUCAGUGCAAGGUUUGACCUUCGCUUCCUUCCUCCACCCACACGCCCUCCGCUUUCCAGCCGCCACUGUCCCGCAUCCUCUGGCUUUCCAGAGAGUUUGGAUCACAGGCUUCAAAUCCCUCUUUCCCCUUCCACCUCCCUCCCACACCCCAGCGAGCGAACACCGAGGGAGGUGGGAAAAUAAAACACACUAGAGAGAUUAUUUCCCUAGAGUGACAGGCUCCCGCUGCAGCUCGGAUUCGUUGAGAAGAGUGAAGGGAAAUCCCGGUGGAGGAGGCGGCACCCGAGAGUGAGGAGGAGGAGGAGGAGGAAGAGGAAGGCUUUACUAGGCGUUAGGCGAAGGCAGGGGUUAGGCUUUGCAGCUCCAGAUGGCGAAGGGGAAGAUGAUGUAGGACAUCGACCAGGCGAGGCAAUAGAUGGAAGCCACUGCCGGUGGCGCGAAGAGGACGGCUGCCACGCCUGCGGAUUAGGAAAAGCCUUUGGGAUCUGCUCCUUCCUCCUCUGCCGCCAUCUCGGUGGGUUUAAUUACCCCCGCCUUGAUUUUGUCCCCAUCCUUACCUCCAGCGUAAACCAAUUUCUUCCAGAGCUGGGACUCCAGCACCUUGUCGUGGGGAUAGAAACCCUGAUCGACCAUGAAGAGGAUCAUGACGAUGGCAGUGACACGCAGCAGGGUGACGUUACCCCCUGUCAGCAAGAAGGUGCCCGCCAGCAGCGAGGAGGCGUAGGGACAGGGCAGCCCCCGGCUGCAGAGGACGGAGGAGAGCCCCGCCACCAAAUUGGCCACGGAGAGCCCGUUAGCAGCGUUUUUCCGGAUGAACUCCAGGGUCUGACCCUGGCCAGCUCGCUCGCUCAGGAACAGCUUCUUCGUGGACUGGAAAAUACCUGCAACCCGCCGAGGCGGCCGGUGAAGGGCAGAACCAACGGCCGCUUCCAACUGGGGAGUUACUUAAACCCUCCCCGAGGUAGCAGGUCAGUGCUGGGGAGGGGGGGACAAAGCCCCGCAGCACCCCCCCCUUCCAGCGCUGGAAGGGGGCUGGAGGAGAUUUUGGGGGGUGCUGCUGAUGGCAGGAGCCUUGCUGGCUGUUCCCCUCCUCAAACCAAAACCCCCAAAAGCCUUUUAGCAAGCGGUGGGAUAUUUUGGGGGGUGUUUUGGUUUGGGGUUUUUUUGCAAGCCCUGCCUCUUAUCUACCCGCCGGAGGUGAAAAUAAAACCAAUAAAAGAAUCACAAAAAUUUAAAAAAAAGAAGAAAAAUAAAUCCAAACCCAAGCUUAGACUAAAAGCCAACCCCGGUUUUAAGCUCUAUUGAUCUUAUAUACCUAUAGGGCUAAGCUUUAGAGAAAGAGUUUAAGGGUCAUGUCCUACUAGUGGGCUUUGCACCCUGCCUUUGCCGUGGUCCCAAAGCCAGGCAAGCUGGUGAGAUCCUUCAUCUGAAAGAAAACAGCACGUCAGAGCAAAACAAAAGCCACCCCCUCCCUUGCCCACCCCCCCUUUACCCGCUCCCGGCUGAGCCUGGGCCAACUCAUCACCGUCGCGGCAUCGAAAUGCCGCCGAAAACAGUUCCCGAGGUGUAAAAAAUAAAAUUAAAAAAACGCC